CGCCAUCUGUCGACUGAAAUUAUUAAUAUCAAGAGAAUAUUUGACAGCACACUGAAAAAUAGUGAGAAAAAUGGUCAUCUUUAGCGUGUAUUUUAAGGCAUUUCCUAAGGGUUUACUGAAUUGGGAAAGUAUACAUCUUAUAGAGGAACUCUUUAACUAUCAUUUGACUGUAAGAUUGUCCAAAUUCAUUUACUAGUUUCAGAAAUACAGGGCGUUUUCCACCACGUGUUUUUAUGAAAAUUUGACCAAAUACCAAUUUUUAAAGGACGUUUUAGGGCACUUUGCAUGAGUUUAUGGGAAAGAAAAUGUAUAUAUAAUGUAGAGAAUUUCUUUAGCUAUCAUAUAACAAUCAGAUUGUUUUAAUUCCUCCUUUGGUUUCAGAGAUAUACGACGUUUUCCACAACAAUGUUUAGAAAAUAUAAAAAAUAUCAAUAUUUAAGAGGAAAUUAGGGCACUUCUCAUGGAUUUCAAGGAUUAAAAUGUUCCAGAGAUAUUAGGUGUUUUCUAUACUGCUUUCAAAAAUUUUCAAGAACAAGCAAUUUUUGUUGGGAAUUUUAGGGCUGUUUCUAGCGGUUGUAAGGGUUGAGAAGAUACAUAUCUUAUAGACAAACUUUUCAGCUAUCAUCUGCUAAAAAGACGGUUUAAAUUGCUCCAUUGGAUCCAGAGAUAUGAAGUGUUUUCCCUAGAAACUUUCUGAAAUAGACAAAAAUGUAUUGAGGAGCUAUUGAGUAAACAUAGUUAUUACUUAAUUUCAAUUUCACUUUAUUUAUACAUUAUAUAAAAAUAACAACGAACAAAUUUUAACAUGAUAGUAUAAAAACGCACAAUUUCUUGCAAA